rnacentral:rRNA from 1 species
UGGGGGAUAUUGCACAAUGGGCGAAAGCCUGAUGCAGCGACGCCGCGUGGGGGAUGAAGGCCUUCGGGUUGUAAACUUCUUUUGCUCUGAACAAGGCGCACCAUGGGGAGUGUUGAGUGUAGGGGUUGAUUAGCGCCGGCUAACUACGUGCCAGCAGCCGCGGUAAUACGUAGGGCGCGAGCGUUGUCCGUAAUUAUUGUGCGUAAAGGGCUUGUAGGUGGCUGGUUGCGUCUGUCGUGAAAGCUCAUGGCUUAACUGUGGGUUUGCGGUGGGUACGGGCUGGCUUGAGUGCGGUUGGGGAGGCUGGAAUUCCUGGUGUAGCGGUGGAAUGCGCAGAUAUCAGGAGGAAUACCGGUGGCGAAGGCGGGUCUCUGGGCUGUUACUGACACUGAGGAGCGAAAGCAUGGGGAGCGAACAGG